rnacentral:rRNA from 1 species
CCUACGGGGGGCAGCAGUAGGGAAUAUUGGACAAUGGGUGAGAGCCUGAUCCAGCCAUGCCGCGUGCAGGAUGACGGCCUUCUGGGUUGUAAACUGCUUUUAUCUGGGGAUAAAAAGGCCUUGCGAGGCAAACUGAAGGUACCAGAUGAAUAAGCCACGGCUAACUACGUGCCAGCAGCCGCGGUAAUACGUAGGUGGCAAGCGUUGUCCGGAUUUAUUGGGUUUAAAGGGUGCGUAGGCGGUUUAUUAAGUCAGUGGUGAAAGACGAUAGCUUAACUAUCGAGGUGCCAUUGAUACUGAUGAACUUGAGUGCAGUCGAAGUAGGCGGAAUGGACGGUGUAGCGGUGAAAUGCAUAGAUAUCGUCCAGAACACCGAUAGUGAAGACAGCUUACUAGGCUGUAACUGACGCUGAGGCACGAAAGUGUGGGGAUCAAACAGGAUUAGAUACCCUAGUAGUC